rnacentral:rRNA from 1 species
UACGUAGGGGGCAAGCGUUGUCCGGAAUUAUUGGGCGUAAAGCGCGCGCAGGCGGUUAUUUAAGUCUGGUGUUUAAUCCUGGGGCUCAACCCCAGUUCGCAUCGGAAACUGGAUGACUUGAGUGUAGGAGAGGAAAGUGGAAUUCCACGUGUAGCGGUGAAAUGCGUAGAGAUGUGGAGGAACACCAGUGGCGAAGGCGACUUUCUGGCCUAUAACUGACGCUGAGGCGCGAAAGCGUGGGGAGCAAACAGG